GAGUUUGAUCCUGGCUCAGAUUGAACGCUGGCGGCAGGCCUAACACAUGCAAGUCGAGCGGAUGAGUGGAGCUUGCUCCAUGAUUCAGCGGCGGACGGGUGAGUAAUGCCUAGGAAUCUGCCUGGGUAGUGGGGGACAAACGUUUCGAAAGGAACGCUAAUACCGCAUACGUCCUACGGGAGAAAGCAGGGGACCUUCGGGCCUUGCGCUAUCAGAUGAGCCUAGGUCGGAUUAGCUAGUAGGUGGGGUAAUGGCCCACCUAGGCGACGAUCCGUAACUGGUCUGAGAGGAUGAUCAGUCACACUGGAACUGAGACACGGUCCAGACUCCUACGGGAGGCAGCAGUGGGGAAUAUUGGACAAUGGGCGAAAGCCUGAUCCAGCCAUGCCGCGUGUGUGAAGAAGGUCUUCGGAUUGUAAAGCACUUUAAGUUGGGAGGAAGGGCAGUAAGUUAAUACCUUGCUG
rnacentral:rRNA from 1 species